rnacentral:lncRNA from 1 species
CUGCAUUUUCUUUAAGAUCUUGUCAAGGAAUUAUACCUUGUAGUGUCUCCCAACAAUAUCAUUUGCAUAAUCUUGACUACUAAAUACUCAUUUUUAUUAUCAUUUGUAAAAAAAAAGACAACUAUGUACAAGUUAAUUUAAUUACAGUCAAUCAUAAAUAUAUAACAUCAACAACCGUACACAUAAUUAAAACAGGAUAAAACAAGAAUGUGUCCCCAGUACAUGGAUGUCUCAUCUGCACUAUCAAUUUCUUUGUUCAGUGGACCAUGAAAAUGGGGGAAAAUUUCUAAUUUGGCAUUAAAAUUAUAAAUAUCAUAGGGAACAUGUGUACUAAGUUUCAAGUUGAUUGAACUUCAACUUCAUCAAAAACUACCUUGACCAAAACCUUUAACCUGAAGCAGGACAGAUGGACAAACGAACAGAUGAACGAGCAGACGGACGCACAGACCAGAAAACAUAAUGCCCAUAAAUGGGGCAUGAAAAAAGUGUCCUUAUGUCCCCACUGUUGGUAAAUAUGUUUCUGAUAUACAAGGAAAUCUAUUAAUCAAAGAAUUUCAUAAUUCAUAAUGUAACCAUUUCUUUUUAUGCCCCACCUACGAUAGUAGAGGGGCAUUAUGUUUUCUGGUCUGUGCGUCCGUUCGUUCGUCCGUCCGUCCGUCCGUCCGUCCGUCCGCGUCGUCCGCUCAGGUUAAAGUUUUUGGUCAAGGUAGUUU